GACGAACGCUGGCGGCGUGCCUAAUACAUGCAAGUUGAGCGCUGAAGGUUGGUACUUGUACCGACUGGAUGAGCAGCGAACGGGUGAGUAACGCGUGGGGAAUCUGCCUUUGAGCGGGGGACAACAUUUGGAAACGAAUGCUAAUACCGCAUAAAAACUUUAAACACAAGUUUUAAGUUUGAAAGAUGCAAUUGCAUCACUCAAAGAUGAUCCCGCGUUGUAUUAGCUAGUUGGUGAGGUAAAGGCUCACCAAGGCGAUGAUACAUAGCCGACCUGAGAGGGUGAUCGGCCACAUUGGGACUGUGACACGGCCCAAACUCCUACAGGAGGCAGCAGUAGGGAAUCUUCGGCAAUGGACGAAAGUCUGACCGAGCAACGCCGCGGGAGUGAAGAAGGUUUUCGGAUCGUAAAACUCUGUUGGUAGAGAAGAACGUUGGUGAGAGUGGAAAGCUCAUCAAGUGACGGUAACUACCCAGAAAGGGACGGCUAACUACGUG
rnacentral:rRNA from 1 species